AGUGAACGCUGGCGGUAGGCCUAACACAUGCAAGUCGAACGGCAGCACAGUAAGAGCUUGCUCUUACGGGUGGCGAGUGGCGGACGGGUGAGGAAUACAUCGGAAUCUACUUUUUCGUGGGGGAUAACGUAGGGAAACUUACGCUAAUACCGCAUACGACCUAUGGGUGAAAGCAGGGGAUCUUCGGACCUUGCUCGAUUGAAUGAGCCGAUGUCGGCUUAGCUAGUUGGCGGGGUAAAGGUCCACCAAGGCGACGAUCCGUAGCUGGUCUGAGAGGAUGAUCGGGCACACUGGAACUGAGACACGGUCCAGACUCCUAAGGGAGGCAGCAGUGGGGAAUAUUGGGCAAGGGGCGCAAGACUGAUCCAGCCAUACCGCGUGGGUGAAGAAGGACUUCGGGUUGUAAAGCCCUUUUGUUGGGAAAGAAAAGCAGCAGGUUAAUAACCCGAUGUUCUGACGGUACCCAAAGAAUAAGCACCGGCUAACUUCGUG
rnacentral:rRNA from 1 species